rnacentral:tRNA from 1 species
GCCCCUGUAGUUCAACGGAUAGAACGAGCGUUUCCUAAACGCCAAAUCGAGGUUCGAUUCCUCGUGGGGGCG